UGAUACAAAAAAUGGUAUGUAAAGUAAGCCCUUCUUGUCCUGAAAAAAAACAAUAUAUAACUUGUAUGGGAACAGUAAAUGAGAGAGCGGAAAAUUACAGCUAAACACAAACACCACAAAAGUGUUAAAACCGCUCUGGUCCUUAACGUACAACAUCGCAAAAACAGGCCAGUCCUUAAGGAGUUAAAGGGAGGGGGAGCAUUAAUUUUGACAAUUUCUUCAUGCACUGUUCAAUUUUAUAUAUAAAUAUUUUAUUUUAGUUGUGUCUGGGUAGCGUGUUCUUCCCUACAAUAUGAAUUGGAUAAAUAUUCUAUAGUAGACAUAGCAAGUACUAAAACAUGCGUAGUUGUAAAGUUUUGCUUUAAACAUAAUCCAAUACUGCAAUAUAAGGAUUAUUGAAU